UACGGAGGUGGCAAGCGUUGCUCGGAAUCACUGGGCGUAAAGCGCUUGUAGGCGGCCUGUCAAGUCGCGUGUGAAAUCCCCUGGCUUAACCAGGGAAGUGCGCGCGAAACUGAAGGGCUUGAGUGCCGGAGAGGGUCGCGGAAUUCCCGGUGUAGAGGUGAAAUUCGUAGAUAUCGGGAGGAACACCAGUGGCGAAGGCGGCGACCUGGACGGACACUGACGCUGAGACGCGAAAGCGUGGGGAGCAAACAGG
rnacentral:rRNA from 1 species